rnacentral:lncRNA from 1 species
GGCAAGAAGUAGAAUAUAAGCAAGUUGAUUGACUAGUAAGGAUGAUUUCUUUCAAAGACAAUGGAUACAAGAUGAUCCUUGUGACUCCACAUUGAAUGAGGUAACAAAAUGAUCUAUGGCUAAAAGCUUACUUGUAGAAAUGAUCUUUAUAAAGAAAUAAAUACAACAUAAAUAGCUGAAAAAUAUGGUAGUUUCAAAUCAUGCCUUAGUAGCAAAAAAAAUAGCCAAAGGAGUAGAAUGGACAGAGCAACUCAUACAAGAAUAUUAGAAUUUUAUUCCAAUUCACUUGCCUAGUGGUGUUGUCAUAUUACAUGAACUCUUGCUUGAGAAUGCACCAACCACCUAGCUAUAGAAAGUAGAAUGGAAAUUGUAACAACAAAAUCUUAAUUUUAAUAGAAUAUUAAAUAAAAUCUAAUUAAAUAUUAACAAAGCUAAGUAAGCUUUAAUCAAAUUCAAAAGAAACCUUAAAAAAAUCACAAAAGAAAUAAUAAAAAAUCUUAAAAGAAUUUAAAAAGAAUCCACAAUAAACAUUAAAAGAAUCUUUAAGAAAUCCUAAAGAAAUAUUAGAAUAAUUAAAAAUAUAUCUUAAAUUAAUCUCAAUCAAGUCCUAAUUUAAUCUUAAUUAAAAUCCUAAUGAAAUUUAAUUAAAUCCUAGGCCAAACUUCAAAUCCUAAACAAAUUUUAAAUCCUAAAUCCUAAGCAAAUCCUAAAUCUUAAAUCCUAAAUUCUAAACCAAAUCCUUAAUUCUAAAUAAAUCUUAAAUCCUAGAUCAAA